rnacentral:rRNA from 1 species
UCUGGUUGAUCCUGCCAGUAGUCAUAUGCUUGUCUCAAAGAUUAAGCCAUGCAGGUCUAAGUACAUGCCGUAAUAAGGUGAGACCGCGAAUGGCUCAUUAUAUCAGUUGUGGUUCCUUAGAUCUUCGGUUACACUUGGAUAACCCUGGUAAUUCUAGAGCUAAUACAUGCAUCCCAGCACCAACCUUCGGGGAGGUGUGUUUUUAUUAGCCCAAAACCAAUCGUUGCCUUCGGGUGACGAACUCUUGGUGACUCAGAGUAACUUGGUUCGGAUCGCAUGGCUUUGCGCCAGCGACGCAUCUUUCAAAUGUCUGCCUUAUCAACUUGUUGGUUGGUUAAAUGCCAACCAAGGUGGUAACGGGUAACGGAGAAUCAGGGUUCGAUACCGGAGAGGGAGCCUGAGAAACGGCUACCACAUCCAAGGAAGGCAGCAGGCACGCAAAUUACCCACUCCCGGCUCGGGGAGGUAGUGACGAAAAAUAACAAUACCGGACUCUUCCGAGGCUCGGUAAUUGGAAUGGGUACACUUCAAAUCCUUUAACGAGUAUCUAUUGGAGGGCAAGUCUGGUGCCAGCAGCCGCGGUAAUCCCAGCUCCAAUAGCGUAUAUUAAAGUUGCUGCGGUUAAAAAGCUCGUAGUUGGAUCUCAGUCUCGGUCGGACGGUCCGUUUUAUAGUGGUACUGGACGAAUCGGACAUUCAGCCGCCUUUCUCAGUAUGCUCUUUACUGAGUGUAUUGGGACAGUGGCGCUUUCACUUUGAAAAAAUUAGAGUGCUCAAAGCAGGCUCACGCCUGAAUCUUCGUGCAUGGAAUGAUGGAAUAGGGCCUCGGUUCUAUUUUGGUUGGUUUCCGGAACUCGAGGUAAUGAUUAAGAGGGACGGACGGGGGCAUUCGUAUUGCGACGUUAGAGGUGAAAUUCUUAGAUCGUCGCAAGACGAACUACUGCGAAAGCAUUUGCCAAGAAUGUUUUCAUUAAUCAAGAACGAAAGUCAGAGGUUCGAAGGCGAUCAGAUACCGCCCUAGUUCUGACCAUAAACGAUGCUGACUAGCGAUCCGUCGGCGUUACAACACAUGACCCGACGGGCAGCUUCCGGGAAACCAAAGUUUUUAUGUUCCGGGGGAAGUAUGCGUUGCAAAACUGGAACUUAAAGGAAUUGACUGAAGGGCACCACCAGGAGUGGAGCCUGUGGCUUAAUUUGACCCAACACGGGAAAUCUCACCAGGCCCGGACACUAGCAGGAUUGACAGAUUGAUAGCUCUUUCUUGAUUUGGUGGGUGGUGGUGCAUGGCCGUUCUUAGUUGGUGGAGUGAUUUGUCUGGUUAAUUCCGAUAACGAACGAGACCCCGUCCUACUUACUAGACCGAGGAUCCUCUCGUUCUCGCGUCUUCUUAGAGGGACAAAUGAUUUUACC